rnacentral:tRNA from 1 species
GCUGAGAUAGCUCAGUCGGUAGAGCAUGAGACUCUUAAUCUCAGGGCUGUGGGUUUGAGCCCCACGCUGGGCA